rnacentral:rRNA from 1 species
GAUGAACGCUGGCGGCGUGCCUAAUACAUGCAAGUCGAGCGAACGGACGAGAAGCUUGCUUCUCUGAUGUUAGCGGCGGACGGGUGAGUAACACGUGGAUAACCUACCUAUAAGACUGGGAUAACUUCGGGAAACCGGAGCUAAUACCGGAUAAUAUUUUGAACCGCAUGGUUCAAAAGUGAAAGACGGUCUUGCUGUCACUUAUAGAUGGAUCCGCGCUGCAUUAGCUAGUUGGUAAGGUAACGGCUUACCAAGGCAACGAUGCAUAGCCGACCUGAGAGGGUGAUCGGCCACACUGGAACUGGGACACGGCCCAGACUCCUACGGGAGGCAGCAGUAGGGAAUCUUCCGCAAUGGGCGAAAGCCUGACGGAGCAACGCCGCGUGAGUGAUGAAGGUCUUCGGAUCGUAAAACUCUGUUAUUAGGGAAGAACAUAUGUGUAAGUAACUGUGCACAUCUUGACGGUACCUAAUCAGAAAGCCACGGCUAACUACGUG